GGAGGGGCUCACGCACGUCGUCGCAGGUGGGGAACUCGAGGGCGAGCUGGCCGGCGGCGUCGGCGGAGAAGAGGCCGGCGAAGUCGUCGCCGCCGGCGGCGGCCGCGCCGAAGUGGUUCUCGAGGGCGGAGAGGUUGGGGAUCAUCGCGUCGUCGGCGUGGGGGCUGAAUCGGCGGAGGCGAUGAAGUGAGCUUUUCCUCUGUUUCGACCCACGGACUUUUCCUCUUGUUCUCGGUCUGUCUCUUCCUUUCUUUCUUGCGGCCGAAGAAGAAGAAGAGANNN
rnacentral:lncRNA from 1 species